rnacentral:rRNA from 1 species
CCUACGAGUGGCAGCAGUGGGGGAUAUUGCACAAUGGGGGAAACCCUGAUGCAGCGACGCCGCGUGAGUGAAGAAGUAUUUCGGUAUGUAAAGCUCUAUCAGCAGGGAAGAAAAUGACAGUACCUGACCAAGAAGCCCCGGCUAACUACGGGCCAGCAGCCGCGGUAAUACGUAGGGGGCAAGCGUUAGCCGGAUUGACUGGGGGGAAAGGGAGCGUAGACGGUGAUGUAAGUCUGGAGUGAAAGCCCGGGGCCCAACCCCGGGACUGCUUUGGAAACUGUGUAAAUGGAGUACAGGAGGGGCAGGCGGAAUUCCUGGUGUCGCGGUGAAAUGCGUAGAUAUCAGGAGGAACCCCGGCGGCUAAGGCGGCCUGCUGGACUGAAACUGACGUUGAGGCUCGAAAGCGUGGGGAGCAAACAGGAUUAGAUACCCUGGUAGUC